rnacentral:tRNA from 1 species
GCUUCGUAGCUCAGUUGGUAGAGCGGUACGCUGUUAACGUAAUGGUCGCAGGUUCGAGUCCGACCGC